UUCGCAAUGCCCGAAAGGGUGACGAUGCGACGCCGCGUGAGCGAAGAAGGCCCUAGGGUUGUAAAGCUCUGUCGAGGGUUAUGAAAUAUAGAUGGGUUAAUACCCCAUUUAUUUGGCAAAAGCCCAAAAGGAAGCCACGGCUAACUCUGUGCCAGCAGCCGCGGUAAUACAGAGGUGGCGAGCGUUGUUCGGUAUUAUUGGGCGUAAAGAGCACGUAGGUGGUUUUGUAAGUCAGGUGUGAAAGCCUUCUGUUCAAAGGAAGAACGGCAUCUGAAACUGCAGAUCUUGAGUGUAGGAGGGGAGAGUGGAACUUCUGGUGGAGCGGUGAAAUGCGUAGAUAUCAGAAGGAACGUCGGCGGCGAAAGCGACUCUCUGGCCUAUUACUGACACUGAGGUGCGAAAGUUAGGGGAGCAAACGGGAUUAGGUACCCCGGUAGUCCUAACCGUAAACGAUGGGCACUAAGUAGAGGGGUUUU
rnacentral:rRNA from 1 species